rnacentral:rRNA from 1 species
AUUGAACGCUGGCGGCAGGCCUAACACAUGCAAGUCGAGCGGGGUUUUCGGACCUAGCGGCGGACGGGUGAGUAAUGCGUAGGAAGCUACCCGAUAGAGGGGGAUACCAGUUGGAAACGGCUGUUAAUACCGCAUAAUGUCUACGGACCAAAGUGUGGGACCUUCGGGCCACAUGCUAUCGGAUGCGCCUACGUGGGAUUAGCUAGUUGGUGGGGUAAUGGCUCACCAAGGCGACGAUCCCUAGCUGGUUUGAGAGGAUGAUCAGCCACACUGGAACUGAGACACGGUCCAGACUCCUACGGGAGGCAGCAGUGGGGAAUAUUGGACAAUGGGCGCAAGCCUGAUCCAGCCAUGCCGCGUGUGUGAAGAAGGCCUUCGGGUUGUAAAGCACUUUCAGUAGGGAGGAAGGGUUAAGUGUUAAUAGUACUUAACUUUGACGUUACCUACAGAGGAAGCACCGGCUAACUCUGUGCCAGCAGCCGCCGUAACAC